GAGAAAUAUAUCUUUCAAUACCUCUGAACCUCAUUCAUGAAACAAGGAGCAGCCCAUUUCAGUAUCAUGCGGAGCAGAUUUUCAAAUUAUUCAGGCCUGAGAUUUUGAUAUAGGCGUCCCCCCUACACCAGCCUAGAACCUCUUGGAAUGAAUGAAUUCUAAGUUUCUUUCCAGAUGUAAAGUUGUAUUAUAUAAUUUAAUUUUGCACAACUUCUCUCCAAGUCACUUCCUCAUUCUACCCUGUUUAGUUCCAGUUUUCAGCCACUAGAGAUAGAGGCAACUUCCUGGGACUUUUGAAACUAUCAUUUGGAGCCAUCUUCCCAUUGGAAAGUAAAAGAAGAAACAAGUUAUGCUAAUGCCUUGAAAGCUGCUCUUCAAGAGUCACAUAUUACUCCUGACCCCAGGUGGGAAAUGAGAGACAGCUGAAAGUUGCGAAUCUGCACACAAUGAAACUCUACAGUCAAUCCCACUGGAUCAUUGGUAACGAACGUAAUUCUGCUUUACCAAAAUUCAACAUGCCCCACCAAAUCCCACAUCCCUUUUAAAUUCAUCUCCAGAGCAUACUAGCUCACAGUGCCUUCUGAAACUUCUAACAAAUUGUCACCUCCUCUAACACAUACCAUAUUGCUAUUAUUCAAGGAAAGACUGAUAUCAAGAGAAAAAUCCAAGUUAAAUGUGCAAAGCCUCCAUCAAAUUUGAAGUCAUUCUCAACUUUUAUGGACCAGUGAAAAGCAACAAAACAUGUUCUCCCUUAAUCUUUGCUCAUUACUAAACAAGACACCUCAGGUCAAUUUUACAGCAGAGAGUCAGGGUGCCAUGGAACACAGUGUGGGUGGAUGGCCUCUGAGCAAUCUGCUUUGGUAGCUGGGUCUUUGUAAAUGGCCUAAAAUUAUGACACUUCCUCAGUGUUUGUUGCUGCCCACACGUGCACCAUGAAUCAAGGAACAAUCACUUCACAUGCCAGAGUGCUGGCAAUGAAUAUUAAUCACAAAGAAAUGGAACAAACAGUGACGGUACUCAAUUUUCCGAAUACCAUUCUACAAACUGAAGCCAUCCUAGAAAUUCUGGAGAGAAAACACCAUGGUAACCCUUUUUCUUAUGUUAACUGACAAUAUUCAAGUUAUUGAAAGAAUAUAUAAAUGCAAAAAAUGAGAUAUCUAUUGCCCUAAAGAUUUCAUUUGAUUUGGCUUUUAAAAUGAGAUCUUUAAAGCAUUUUCUCUUUAUCUCAGAAUAAAGGCCAGUUUUGUUCAGUAACAGUUCUAAAUUGAACAUCCUGCCAUCCAUCAAUGGUGUGUACUACAGCUGCCUAUGCUUUUUCCUCCAGGGCAGUAGACAGCAUUUUGACACUAAUGGUCAUUUUCUUGCUCACAGAAUUGAAUUUUUUUGUGUAUUAUCUGUCACUUCCUUCCAAAUAUCAGUUUAUUAGGAGUUAAACUGGAAUUGCAGAACAAGAUUGCUUCUUUGGGCAUUAUUAAGAAUACAAAAUCAAUGCCGUGUGAAGUAUUUGAGUGCUGCAGGCCACUGAUGAGCUUUUAAAUGAGUUAUGGGGCAUAGAAAUCAGGUUAAUGGGGUUAACGCUCUAAUUUACACAGUGUCCCAAGGUAACUGACUUCUUAAUAUAUUUAAUGAGAUGUAAAAAAAAGUCCACCACCAAAGCAAACUUAUAUGUUUCUAAAUGCACACAUAAUGUACAGGUAAAUUUACAGACAACUUUCUGGAUGGAUAGAUCCAAAAUUGAUAAAUGCAGUUAGCUCUGGGGAAGAGUGAGAUUGAGUGCUGGUCAACAGAGAUGUCAGUUCCAUGUUUGUUAUUUACAGUUUCUAGAGUAAAAGUGUAUGCGUGCAUUAUCAUUUAAAUGAAAAAUAAUUAAUUAAUAAAAAAUUGUAUUAACAACUCAA